rnacentral:rRNA from 1 species
AUACGUAGGGGGCGAGCGUUGUCCGAAUUUACUGGGCGUAAAGCGCGUGUAGGCGGCUCUUUAAGUGAGAUGUGAAAUCCCGUGGCUCAACCACGGAACUGCAUUUCAAACUGGAGGGCUUGAGUAUGGGAGAGGAAAGUGGAAUUCCUGGUGUAGCGGUGAAAUGCGUAGAUAUCAGGAGGAACACCCGUGGCGAAGGCGGCUUUCUGGCCCAUCACUGACGCUGAGACGCGAAAGCUAGGGUAGCGAACGGGAUUAGAUACCCCGGUAGUCCUAGCCGUAAACGAUGGAUACUAGGUGUUAGUGGUAUCGACCCCACUAGUGCCGGAGCUAACGCAUUAAGUAUCCCGCCUGGGGAGUACGGCCGCAAGGUUGAA